UACGUAGGUGGCAAGCGUUGUCCGGAAUUAUUGGGCGUAAAGGGCUCGUAGGCGGUUUGUCGCGUCGGGAGUGAAAAUCCAGGGCUUAACUCUGGACUGGCUUCCGAUACGGGCAGACUAGAGGUAUGCAGGGGAGAACGGAAUUCCUGGUGUAGCGGUGAAAUGCGUAGAUAUCUGGAGGAAUACCGGUGGCGAAGGCGGCAUCCUGGACCGGCAUUGACGCUGAUGAGCGAAAGCUAGGGGAGCAAACGGG
rnacentral:rRNA from 1 species